AACAACUCAAUUUCUUUGAUUUUUUCGAUUUCCUUCAUCUACUUUCUGCCACCAUCAUCUCCAAAACCUUCACCACCCCCAGCCACCACUGCCUACCAGGCAGUCCUUAUAUGUGAAAUAAGAAUGCUAAUGAUUAAAAAUUCAACUUUUAGGGGUUCAAGGAGGUAAUUAUUGAUGGAGUUUCUGCCAUUUGGAAUCAACCCAUUUUUAAGAGAAAUUUUGCAGUUGCUGCUCAUCGGUGUUACCUGAGACAAGAAGGCGAUUAAGUUAAGAAUCUUAGUGGUGUCCACAUAUGUUGGGUAUUGCUCCUUAUAGACAAUAGUUGCCAAAAAAAAAUAUUUUUCAAUCAAACUCCGUUGAAGUAUUGUACUAGUUUUUCAUAUAUGUUUAGGUUCCCUUUUUAUUGCCUUUUUUGAAGUUAAUAUUUGAGAGGAAAAGGAGUAAGAAUAUAGAGAGGUUACUGGUUGGCUUCCUGAUAAUUGGCAAAAAGUAUAUGGUUUUUGGUAUAUUUAUGUCCUAUGUCUUAUGUGAUUUGAUAAAGAUUGCAUGGUUAAUUGAAUGAAUUUAUACUCAUUACACGUUUCUUAUGUGUAGAUACGAGGUUAAAAGAAAGUUGAUUAAAAAUAGAUAAAUUGGCGUGAAACCUGAAGUGAAGAAACAUGAAAGAAGAUUGGAGGCAGCUCAUCUGAAGCUCGUGCGUCGCGCGAGAGGCAGACGAGCUAAGGGAGCAAACCUUUAUCUAAAACAGUAAAUUGGCGACCAUCACACAGGACAACACGAGGCCAAGAGAAAAUGAAGAAGCACCUAGGAGUUCGUUCAAGGGGCGCUGCGAUGCGCGGUUACUGAAUGCAGCCCAUCGACUCUUGUCCGAUAUUAGAUUAGUUUGGACGACUUUUUAUCCAUUCUAGGUCAUAUAAAUACCCCAUAAAACGUCUUUUGAAGGGGGUAAUACAUCUUUAGAAGCAAGAAACGUACAUGAAGGAGAAGAACACGGGUUUAGUGAUUAGUUUAUAUUUUUCUUCUAUUCUUUCUUGUCGUUUAUAAUUUUUUACUAUUUUUGUGAACACCAUAUUAUGAGUGGCUAAGUACUCUAAUUCUGAG
rnacentral:lncRNA from 1 species